rnacentral:rRNA from 1 species
ACUGCGAGUGAAGCGGGAAAAGCUCAAAUUUAAAAUCUGGCGGUCCUUGUGGCCGUCCGAGUUGUAAUUUAGAGAAGUGUUAUCCGCGCUGGACCGUGUACAAGUCUCCUGGAAUGGAGCGUCAUAGAGGGUGAGAAUCCCGUCUUUGACACGGACUGCCAGGGCAUUGUGAUGCGCUCUCAAAGAGUCGAGUUGUUUGGGAAUGCAGCUCAAAAUGGGUGGUAAAUUCCAUCUAAAGCUAAAUAUUGAGGAGAGACCGAUAGCGAACAAGUACCGUGAGGGAAAGAUGAAAAGAACUUUGGAAAGAGAGUUAAACAGUACGUGAAAUUGCUGAAAGGGAAACGCUUGAAGUCAGUCGCGUCGCUCAGGACUCAGCCUUGCUUUGCUUGGUGUACUUCCUGUUCGAUGGGUCAGCAUCAAUUUUGGUCGGUGGAAAAAGGCUCAGAGAAUGUGGCAUCUUCGGGUGUGUUAUAGCUCUGGGUCGCAUACAUCGGCUGGGAUUGAGGAACUCAGCACGCCGCAAGGCCGGGUACUUGUACCACGUACGUGCUUAGGAUGCUGGCAUAAUGGCUUUAAUCGACCCGUCUUGAAACACGGACCAAGGAGUCUAACAUGCCUGCGAGUGUUUGGGUGGAAAACCCGAGCGCGUAAUGAAAGUGAAAGUUGAGAUCCCUGUCGUGGGGAGCAUCGACGCCCGGAGCAGACCUUUUGUGACGCAUCCGCGGUAGAGCAUGUAUGUUGGGACCCGAAAGAUGGUGAACUAUGCCUGAAUAGGGUGAAGCCAGAGGAAACUCUGGUGGAGGCUCGUAGCGAU